UCAGCUCGUCUCUGCAAUGGUGAAUGCUGUAAACGGGUCUGCCGGUGGGUGCAACAAGUUGAGGUCGGGUUGUUUCCACAUGAGACACUCCUAAUUCUCACGAAUGCCAUGGAAACCUAGCCCAUUGAAUACACUUCACCCCAACAUGAACAACUCAUAUUGAGCCAGAAACCUAGCUAAUACCACUGCAUAGUCCAGGUAUGACUGAUUGCAGGGGCAACAUCUAGAUCUCUCUUCCUCGUCACUUCUCCCACUCCAUCUGUAACUUUCACAUCUCUUGUGGAAUUACUUUCAAUUGCCAAUAUUUGCUCACUCCCAACUAUUUGUAGUGGCUCUUGGAAAAUAGCUAGUUCAUCAAGAAUAUCUUCAGGUGACUCUGUAUUGACAUAUCUGUUUGAGCUUAGUGCAAGUCCUGACUAUUGUGCUAACAUCAGAUCUCUUUCUUUUUUCUUUAGCCUUCCUUCAUCUUGUUCAACUGCUACCAGAUGCCUCAUUCCUGAGGACUAUUUCUAGUCCAGUGUUAGUUGCAUUCAGUUCUGUUGAUUCCAUUUGUUGUAUUGUAUUCCCCUCCCCUGUAUGUUUCUGAAUGUCCUUGCCUUUAUCUGUUAUGUUCUUCUGGUGAUUUUCUGUAAUAUGAUUAUUUUGAGCAAAGGUCUUACUGACCCAAUUUUUGGUGGACCUAUGUUGUUGAUCUUUCUCUUCCAUUUGUGUUGCCUUUUCUUUUGUUGUAACCUCAUCUUCUUCACCAUUAUCUGUUUUCAGGCCUAUUGUAUUGCUUGUA